rnacentral:rRNA from 1 species
UGCGUAGGGGGCAAGCGUUGUCCGGAUUUAUUGGGCGUAAAGAGCGUGUAGGCGGCCAUUCAGGUCAGCUGUGAAAACUCGAGGCUCAACCUCGAGACGUCGGUUGAAACCGUUUGGCUAGAGUCCGGAAGAGGAGAGUGGAAUUCCCGGUGUAGCGGUGAAAUGCGCAGAUAUCGGGAGGAACACCGGUGGUGUAGACGGCUCUCUGGACCAUAACUGACGCUGAGACACGAAAGCGUGGGUAGCAAACAGG